UGGUUUAGUGGUUAAAGCAUCAGGCUAGAAACCGGAGACUGUGAGUUCAAAUCCCAC
rnacentral:tRNA from 1 species